UGGAUCCGCCACUUUGAAUUUCGUAAUUUUGAGUUCAGAUUCGGUUAUAUCAGCGAACCCGAAAACUUUAAAAUACCCAUUUUCAUACAAAUCCAUCUACUUUCCAGUUUCAACCGGCCAAUUUGGUCACAUUAUUUACAUUUUGGAAAACAUUCAUAACUCGAUGAAUAAAAAUCGCACAGUACAAAAUAACAAUUCGUUUUAAAGGUGAAGAAUAGGACUUUAAAGUGGCGUUAAUAAACUUGAAAAAUAAAAUUUCAUUUGGCCACAAAAAAUUGAUAAAUAUGGCAAAAACGCUAUUUUUUGCCCACAUUACUCGAUUUAUCUCAAAAACUUGACGUGAUGAGUAUUUUUUGCUGGCGAAUUUGGCUUUAGCGACCUCGAAUUUACUAAGAAAUAUUGGCAGAUUUCUUUAUCGCCGCAGAUUUUUUUGUUCAACUGUGUAAUCAAUUACGACCGAACGUCCGAUUUAUUUCUCGGUUCUGUAAUAAUUCUUACUAUAAAAUUUUCUUCGCGCGACGGAAAAUGCGACUGUAUGAGAAGAUUCGCAUUUUGCAUCGCCAUCCGCCAGAUUAUGAUUCGUUCGUUAUGAGUAUCAGUUUCAAUUUUCAGGAUUAUGUAAUUCACAGCGCGUGACCCCUUCGUAAGCGAGGCUCCUGGUGCACACCUAGUAGAUAAUCCGCCAACGAGUCGGACGCGAGUAAAAUUCACUUUCACUGCCGUAAAAGCUCCCGUCGAAGGAGCGGCGAGCACAUAGCUUUAUUCACCGGUUAUUCUACUCUUCCGCGGUCCAAGGUUCUUCGCGCGAGAUGAGGAUGAAUUUUAUCUCUCUUAUUUGCCUCCGUCUCGUCUCCGCUGGAAAUCAACCGUCCCGACUUGGCGUACGCCAUGAAGUUACAUGUGCCGCGAAACGUGGCGAACGCGGGGGCAUGAUACCUAUCCAUUACUAAACCGCAGAAAUUCUAUAAUGACGAUCAACCUGUCGGGUUAGCCACGGCCGUCGCCAGAACAAGAGAAGAAGUCCGCGGACUCGUUCACAAAGACGCGCUCUUCUCCCGCUCUCUGCAAUAUUCGCCAAAGAUAUUUGCUCAUUGCAACACAUGAAUGGCACACGUCGACUGUAAGGGCUCGGAAAAACUUAAACAUUGAGACUUAAGCGGUAAGAAAAUUGACCAGUCACAAUCGAUUAUUCUUGGACCGCAAGAGGAAUCAUCAACUGUGGUCGGUCAAUUUGCUUACUACUUAGGCUUUACUGCUCACGUUUUUCUGUGCGUUCCCGGCCUAACUCGGAGACGUACGCUGAAUCAGCCGUGAAGUGGCGUAAUUUCACGCGAGCAUAGCGGUACCGCGCUUUGCAGCUCACGGAUGCAGAUUCCGCCGAUCGGGGCAUUCGGUAUCGAAUGGAGUAACGAAAGGGGAAUUGGAGAAAUCAAAAUCCGAACCGCUGCUUCGCGAGUUGCAAACGUUGCAAAACGGGAACAUAUAGUCAGCGGUGAAUGUGAGCAACGACUUGAAAUACUGACUUGUAAAUACGGACUUUUAUACUUCCUAAAAUAUACUAAAAUAUACGAUGUAAGCGCGACGCUGGUUCGCUAUACGUCGGUGAUCUCUUGUUAUCAAUUUGCAUACAAUGCUGUAAUUCUGAAUGGCACGAGGCACUCGUAGAGAAAGAACGAGCAAGAAAAUGAGAGAGAGAGAGAGAGAGAGAGAAACGUGGCGCGAUAAAUCUUCACGUGGCACUUAAAAAAGGGAUAGCUUCCUGGUGCUUGGAACGACAUGCUUCGCAACGAGCUUUUUAUGUCUCGUCGAGACUCUUCACGUGUGUAAAAAUCCGACGUGUAUGAAGAAAAAAAGGAAACGCGAUGGAUCGGAAGAUAGUGGAGGGCUCCGAGAAGUUUUAUAAAUUCUAUUUCGAAGCCGCGACACUCUCCGAGCGAGCGUCUAAAAAAAGAAAUCCUUAAAGAGAAGGUCGUCAAGUCUGAACUGUGCUGGCGAGUUACGCAGAGCGCUUACGACACGAGCUGUAUCGUAACGUACACGUGGAAGGCACUUUUCAGGAAGCAAGCGAGUUCUUUCAACGAACCCGGAAUAGAAAUCUUUUCGUGACAAAAGUACCAACGCGCCGACAAUUUUUGAAUUAUAAUCGCAAAUGAAUCACCUUCUGCGAAUAGCGAGGCGUUAUUUCUCAUUUGAAUUCAGCUGGACGUGAAUUUUCAUGAAAUUUUACUUUGACGCUUAGUUACCGCGAUUUUUAAUACGGAAAGUCAAAGAGAUUACGCAAUCGAAGUUUUAUCGGGGAUAAAUCGACAUCGAUCAAAGAACUUGCACUCCUAAAUAUUUGCACGAAAAAGAAGAUUUAACUACCGUAACUAAUCACGAUUCGCUGAAAAUAUAAUUGUCGUCGUUUAAAAAUUUGCUGCUGCAACUAAAACUUGCUACACACAGAAAAAAUAUCAUUCCUUUGCUAAGAAAAGCUAUUAUAUUCAGUUUACUUUUCUUCUUUUGAAUGAUUAUCUUCAACGCGAAGAAUAUUUGUCUAAUAACAGUCUUAAAAUACGCUUAUCAACUUUUAAAAAGCUCAUUACCACACAUUCAAAAGAAGGAUUUAUUUUCAAGUUCCAAGAAUAUCAUAAAACUUUAACAAAAAGUUAGUUCGAGUUUAUGCAGUAAAUAAACCGACUAUUUAUUUUAAUUUAAUACUCUUGAUUAAAAUAUUAAACUUACUAGGAUCCAGAAUGUAUUUUAAAUAAAUUUAGUGCUCAUUAACUUAUGUGAUAUAGAUUUCCAAAUAUUUAAACUUAUGAAAUAAAACAAGUAAUGUAUAUUUGAAUGCAGUAUGCAUUUUUUUGUGUGUACUUCUUAUGUAUACACAUUUUUCUAUGUAUAUUUUUCUUAUGUAUACACAUUUUUCUGUGUUUUUUCUGUGUGUAUAUUCAUAUGUUACAACGAACAACUGUCAACACAGAUUCUUGCUGCAGCAGCAUUUUUCUUCUCCGUGUAAUUGUACUAUCUGAUUUUUCAAUCAAAUAUGCACGAAAUAAUCGAGGUCUCUUUCGCAAUGGCAAUUAAACUGGAGCCAGCGAGCAGACCCGAGACGGCAAUAUACCCAUUAAAUACCGGUUUUAUUAAAGCUAUCAAUGUCUACGCGACUACGCGAUAAAAUAGUGCGCGAUUUCGAGAACACACAUUCGAACGUCAUCCUAUUUCUAUUCGUCGAUGCCGAGGUAUCGAAGAUAAAUGUCACAAAACGACGACUAAACAUAUUAUUAACGCGGCAUCGUAAUUAUCGUUGAAGAACAUUAUGCUUUAAAGGUAUCAUCGCGCAUUAUCACUCAUGAUUACACACGACGCACGUCGACGAUUAAAGCGUGCACUCUAAUUUCAACGCGACGUGAAAUUUGCGGCACUAUGGUAUGUUUUCUUAAACGACUAUGAUAUGACAGUACAUAAAGGCGACCGAGUUUGCGAAAUAUCGCUGAUCUCAUCGGCGACUGUUUCGUGUGAUUUUAGAAAAAGAUAAAGUGCCUGGCUGAUAAUGUUCGUCUACACAGUUAUUAUCAACUUCCUGAGAGAGCAACGAUGACUGGAAAACCCACUCUAUCGUUAUCACAAAUUUUUAUCACUCUAUUUCAAUAAAUUCGCAAUCAAAUCAAAAUCGCGCUUUUGUUUCGCGACACGAUCGCAUUUUUCUGUUUUUCCUCUUUCUUCUAAUUUUUAGGGGAUGCGAUUUUCGAGAGAACUCGGUCUAGGAAUCUCAGCUACUGUUGAAUGAGAGACGACAGACAUACUCCCGUCGUCUCAUUCAGACACGGAGUUCCAUUCAUUCAUGCCACGGAGACAUCGUCCGUACGUGGAAAGAAUCAUAAUCACUCACCAGCCUUUUGGCGUUCGGGUCUGCUCCUUGGUGUAGUAACUCGGUCACGGCGUCGAUGUGGCCGGCGGCGGCAGCUAGUAUCAAGGGUGUCGUGCCAUCCUGAAAAAGAAGAAAAGUCAGCUGAGCGGCCUCAUUGCGAAACUUCGCUUCGAUGAUUCGAUCAGCCGCGAAACUUUCUUCCCGGCGAACGUUACCGUCGAAUAUAUGACUGCGUUCAAGGACGAGUGGAUCGGCGAUUACAUUCACGACAAUCGAACAGAAUCGUGACACUAGAUUCGGCUCGGCACGAUUCCAUAUGGACAAAGCUCGCAAAAACACGCUAGUAAAACGCAACUUCCAUUGCCGAAGUGGCACGAUUAGUGUGUCCGCGCGUGUGAUCUAAUAAACCACUUUCAAGACGCUGAGAGGAGUAACGUUACCUACGCUGCUCGCUCCUCGUGCAUCGCCUCGUCGUUUGCAUAAUGAGACCGACCGUCAGCGAGGAGAGAAAACCGGCGGCCGUAAAUCACGCGUCUGCCAUAAAAUCGCCGAACCGUCGUUAGACUAAUACUUUUCGCGAUUUCGAUCGCGAAACAAGUCGGUAGUUUCGAGCUGGCCUCCGACGGUAACAUCGUACACGUUCCUCUCGAGCGAUCAGACAAAAUCAGUAAAAGAAGUCAAAAAGAAGUAAAAAUAUCUUGAUUUCUUACUUGAAAUCGUGCAUUGAGAAAAAAUAUUUGUAAAUUUAUUUGCGAGAUAGAAGUCUAUUUCGCGCAAAUAUACUUUACAUGUUACAGAUAAAUUUUCAAAUAUCUUUUUUGUCAGUGCAUCGACUUCUGGCUGAUCAGUCUGAUUGGACUCCAUUAAGGGUUUUUCGUUAAUAAUAUUUUACCCUCGCAAUAAAACUUUCCAGUAGAUAAUAAUAAUGUCUUUUCUAGAUUUUAUCGUGAUAAAUAAGGGUGAUAAUGCGAUACUCACCUUAUC